GUGUCAGCAGCCGCGGUAAUACGGAGGGGGCAAGCGUUGUUCGGAAUUAUUGGGCGUAAAGGGCGCGUAGGCGGCCUGGCAAGUCGGAUGUGAAAUCCCUCGGCUCAACCGAGGAACCGCAUUCGAUACUGCCGGGCUAGAGUCCGGGAGGGGAUGGUGGAAUUCCCAGUGUAGCGGUGAAAUGCGUAGAUAUUGGGAAGAACACCGGUGGCGAAGGCGGCCAUCUGGACCGGUACUGACGCUGAGGCGCGAAAGCUAGGGGAGCGAAUGGGAUUAGAUACCCCGGUAGUCCUAGCUGUAAACGAUGGGCACUUGAUGUGGCAGGUACUGACCCCUGCCGUGUCGAAGCUAACGCGUUAAGUGCCCCGCCUGGGGAGUACGGUCGCAAGGCUGAA
rnacentral:rRNA from 1 species